rnacentral:rRNA from 1 species
GUCCAGACUCCUACGGGAGGCAGCAGUGGGGGAUAUUGCACAAUGGGGGAAACCCUGAUGCAGCGACGCCGCGUGGGUGAAGAAGUAUUUCGGUAUGUAAAGCCCUAUCAGCAGGGAAGAAAGAAGACGGUACCUGACUAAGAAGCCCCGGCUAACUACGUGCCAGCAGCCGCGGUAAUACGUAGGGGGCAAGCGUUAUCCGGAUUCACUGGGUGUAAAGGGAGCGUAGACGGCGACGCAAGUCUGGAGUGAAAGCCCGGGGCCCAACCCCGGGACUGCUCUGGAAACUGCGUCGCUGGAGUACGGGAGGGGCAGGCGGAAUUCCUGGUGUAGCGGUGAAAUGCGUAGAUAUCAGGAGGAACACCGGCGGCGAAGGCGGCCUGCUGGACCGUGACUGACGUUGAGGCUCGAGAGCGUGGGGAGCAAACAGGAUUAGAUACCCCGGUAUCC